CUGUAUCGGCGCAGCGCGCACCGGCUCGGUCCUUUCCCUCCGGACGUCGGCGGCCGACCCUCCCGAGCCGGACUCGCUGCCCCGCCAUGCGGCUGCCUCGGACCCAAGCGCAGGUUGAAAACUACCAGGAAGAAACCAGUGAGCUGAAUGCCGCCAAGGUGAAUAAAUAGUCUUAACAUGUGGUGACCAGUCUUGCCUGUGGCCCACCUUAGGAUUAGUGU